rnacentral:tRNA from 1 species
CAUUAGAUGGCUGAAUAGUAAGCCCUAGAAUUUUAAACUAGUUUAUAGUAAGUUAACAAUUACUUCUAAUG